rnacentral:rRNA from 1 species
UACGUAGGGGGCAAGCGUUGUCCGGAUUUAUUGGGCGUAAAGAGCGUGUAGGCGGCCAAGUAAGUCUGCUGUGAAAACUCGAGGCUUAACCUCGAGCUGUCGGCGGAAACUAUUUGGCUAGAGUCCGGAAGAGGAGAAUGGAAUUCCCGGUGUAGCGGUGAAAUGCGCAGAUAUCGGGAAGAACACCGUGGCGAAGGCGGUUCUCUGGGACGGUACUGACGCUGAGACGCGAAAGCGUGGGGAGCGAACAGG